rnacentral:rRNA from 1 species
CGCCUCUUGACUUACAUAAGAGGUCCAGCCUGCCCAGUGACCCUGUUCAACGGCCGCGGUAUCCUAACCGUGCGAAGGUAGCGUAAUCACUUGUUCUUUAAUUGCGGACUAGUAUGAAUGGCACCACGAGGGUUAUACUGUCUCCUUUUUCUAAUCAGUGAAACUAAUCUCCCCGUGAAGAAGCGGGAAUAAAAAUAUAAGACGAGAAGACCCUAUGGAGCUUUAAACGCUAUAGCAAUUACUACAUUUACACAACUUUCUGAACAUUCAACCUUUAAAGUAACAUGACUUUAAGUUUUCGGUUGGGGUGACCACGGAGCAUAAUAUAACCUCCACGUUGAAAGAUACAUACUUCUAAACUUAGACUUACAUGUCUGGGCAUCAGAACACUGACAUUCAUUGACCCAAUACAAUUGAGCAACGAACCAAGUUACCCUAGGGAUAACAGCGCAAUCUACUUCAAGAGCUCCUAUCGACAAGUAGGUUUACGACCUCGAUGUUGGAUCAGGGUGUCCCAGUGGUGCAGCCGCUACUAAAGGUUCGUUUGUUCAACGAUUAAAACCCUACG